ACAUCGCUCUUUGAAAAGUUAGAAUAAAGAGUCGAGCCUGCCCAGUGAUAUAAUUUUAACGGCCGCGGUACUCUGACCGUGCAAAGGUAGCAUAAUCAUUUGCCCUAUAAUUGAGGGCUAGUAUGAAUGGUUUGACAAGAGCAAUACUGUCUCCUUUAGAUUUUAUAGAAUUUGGUUUUCAGGUGAAGAAACCUGAAUUUAAUUGAAAGACAAGAAGACCCUAUCGAGCUUUAAGUUAUUUUGUUAAUUUAAUGAGUUAAAGAUCAGUUUUAACAAAAGAUUUUGGUUGGGGCGACUGAGGAACAAAGAAAGCUUCCUUUUUUAAAAAGACUUAUUGGUUUUGAUCCAAAAUGUUUGAUUAAAAGAAUUAGUUACCGUAGGGAUAACAGCAUAAUCUUUUUUGAGAGCUCUUAUCGAAAAAAAGGUUUGUGACCUCGAUGUUGGACUAGGAUAUCCUAAUAGAUGCAGACGUCUUUGAUGGUUGGUCUGUUCGACCAUUAAAAUCCUAC
rnacentral:rRNA from 1 species